rnacentral:lncRNA from 1 species
UCGAUACUACACACUUACACUUGCACUGCAGAAUAGAGAUAGCGAAUGAGUUUGUUGCUAUCUGUAAACGAAUGCACGUGAUUGAAGUUAAUAUGAGACCAUAAUUAAUUUUUAGUAAAUUGCAGAACAGUCUUCAGUUUUGAAGAAUUGUUGAAUGAAUUCUUAAAUACGGUGUGUAUCAACUUUUACCCUAAAUUUGGUUCCGCUUCCAGUGCGCACACUGGAUACUUUUUCAUGACUGGAGGUCGAUUAUUCCUGCAGCAUCUUUCAGCAUUCUACCCACCACCGUUACCAUUAUCUCUACACACAACGCUCAGUAUGCGAUAUGUAGACGUUCAAGCGACGGAGCAUCAUCGUCUACAAUCGAUCAGUGACGGGAAUCAUCAGUCCGUGAAUCUACUAUAGAGCCCACUCUACUGGAAUGACACGAGUUCUGACUGAUGGAUCAGACCUACAGACAAUUUAAAUUGAACGAAUGAAGAAGUAAAAACUAUUAAUGUAACUAUGCGACUGUUUCAUAAAAGAGCUGCGGCUACACGCGACCGACUACCUGAUGGACACGCAGCAACUGGAGGGACAUCCGCCAGAAUCAGACAUUCUGCUCAUAACCUUACUAGAAGUGGAACGCCGCCUCAUUAUAGUCGAUCUCAAUCCUUUUCGUCAAUGAACAGUGGACAUCCUGUUGGUGCUAGGCCUAUUCCUUUGAUGGGAAGACUUAGAUCGUUAUCAUUCGGCAGUAACGAAGUGACAGACAGCUCCGGAGAUAAGAGACAAUUAAGUCAAUACGAAGAGGAGGACAUUUUUCAAAAUUUCACAAAAAGAAUGUACAUUAUGUUGGUGGUUCUGAUAGCCGUUGUGAUAAGCUUUGUUUUUAUUCUUUCCUGUAUAGAAAUAACGCCUUACCAUGAACAAAAAUUGUUUCUCAAAUAUCUCAAGAAAAGGUUAAAAACUCAUAUACCCAUUGACGGUAAACAAUGAUUUAUUUAUUAAGUUUAAAUUUAUGUAAUUUUUACUCUUAUUAUUUGAAAACCUAACCUGAAGGUAAACAUUUCUUUAAUGUUUUAUAUUUUAUGUUUAGCCCCAACUCAGCCUCUAAUAAAUCUAGUGUUAUAAUUCUAGCAAGUAACAAUUGCCUGAAAAACCAAAUGAAAGGCAAUCUUCUCAACAAAAGAAAAUCUUAACAACAUUGAAAUAGGUUGCAGAUGGAAAAGUUAUUUUCAAGUAAGACAUAUUUUGCAUCUUCUUGUUUAUUUUAAGUAAAUAUGACUAUCAGAUAAAAUGUUUGUGCUUCAGUAACAAAUCGCUAUAAAACUCGUUAUCUUCAAGAAUCAGGAUUUUCCAUAAAAACAAUGAUCCACUGCGUGCAGUGUUUAUUGCUGACAAAAAAUAAAGGAUUCAUUUGAAAGAUUUAUAAAUUAUUAUUUCUAAUACAUAGAUAUAAAAACUGUAGUUUUUUUUGUCGAUUUGUUUGUUCACUCGAAUGACACUUUAUGCACAUAAUGGGUUAAACGGCCAUAUGAGAGACUCCUCGUGGUUCAGGCAAAGACGUCAAUAUUUCUACACAGGGACAAUAGCGAAGUCAACUUUGGCAUCACCUGUCUCUUGAAGUUGCUACUUUUAUCUGAACAACGUUAUUAACUGUCACUGUUAUAACGAAACCACAGCCAAAAUGGCGAAGCGUGUUUGGUAGCACGUCAUAUUGAACUAGUGCUGAAUAAUUAUUACUUUUUCAAUUCGAAUCGAUAUUGAUAUCUAACUCCGAUUAUGAUUAUCAAAUAUUCUAACUAAAUAACUUUUAGAAAAAACGUGGACAAAUAAAUAGCAACAAGUUUCUUGGUUAAAAAGUUAUUAUUAUUAUAAAUAACUAGUAACAUAAUAUAACUAGAGGCUUGUCAAUAUGAAUAUAAAA